ensembl:lncRNA
GGCGUUCACGCACAUUUGGGGUGGGCGUGGCUAGAGGGAACCGCCUCUCUGGAGGGCUGACACAUCAUCCAAGAUUGCUGUGCCCAAGAAGAGGCCGCAGUGUGGGUGUCACCAGCUUGCAUGAGGUUUAGGGACAAAGGAUGUUGAACCAUGAAUAGCAGAGCUAUGGGGACUGCUAUGUUGGCUUAAAGCUGCCGUCAACAACCGUCAUUUCUCAGUGAGCGUUCUAGAAGAUUGUCAGCUUCCUAGAUGGGGCCUAUGGGGAUUAGGAUUGUUGUGCUAGGUUUAAGAACGUGGUUAAUUUAAUGAAGUCACAAUGUCAGACCAUACUUUUAGAGGGAAGAGCUUUUAUACCAAUAUGAGAAACCGAGAAGCUAUAAAUUUAGAGAUAUACAUAUUUGCCUAUAUAAAAAGUCAGUAUUUAGUAAGGCAAAAAAACACAAUGGAAAAAGUCAACAAGGGGAAAGUUAGAUUGAAAAUGAAGUGUCUUAAACACAUAUGCCUUAUAAAUGUUUAAUGCUUAUAAUAAGCCUACAAAUGAAGUGCAGAAAGACACAGAUCCCAUUAGGAAAAGGUGAAAAGCAUAUGGAUAGUCAGUUUACACCAGAGUCUAAGUAAUGACACCGUCCCUCCUCAGCGCUUGACAUGUGUCAGUUUACUUAGUCUUCAAAAGAACAAUGUCAGAUAGUUGCUACUAUUAUCCCCACUUCACAGGAGAGGAAACUGAGGCCCACUGUUAGGCCACACACUUUCACUGUGAGAGAGAGGGCAAAAUAGUGUAAAAUUAACAUAUCACCUCAGCAAAAACUGGCAAGAAUGAUAGCAGCCUCUGGGGGACGAACAGGGGUGUGGGGCCCGGACGCUUGCUGGCAGAGACGGGAAUUUUAACCCCAGUUUACAAAGGCAAAAACACACCUUUCAACUCAGCAAUCCCUGGAAUAUGUGCAAGGAAGUUUGUUGCAGGAUGAGUACAUUUUGGAAGAUCCACACCAUGGAAUGUUGUGCAACGUUUAAAAGGAAUGAGUUAGAGCUGUACCAGUUAACCUGAAGAAAAUUUCAAGAUGUGAGAAAAGCAACCUGCAGAGAAGGGUAUACACGCGAUCUCAUCUUCACAAAACAAGCAAAAACAAACAAGGAAACAACAACCCAAACCAGGUCUAAUAUUUACUGGCUGUGUGUCCUUGAGAAGUUUACUUAGCUUCUCUGUUUAUCAACACCACAGGGAUAAUAGCAGUGUGGGGUUUUUGUGAGGUAUAGUAUACAUACAGGAAGUCUUUGUGCUUGCUUUGUAGUAAAUGUUCAUAUUAUACAUGUCAGAAGUAGAUUAGAGAAAGGAAUGAAAGGACACACCAGGAUGCAGAAACUAGUUCCCAAAGGGAAGGAGGAAAGAUUAAAAAAAGAGCUUUAAAAUAAACAGGAGUGAAAAAAAUCAGCAAAAUAGUAUAAAUAUUAUGACCCAAUUUGAUAGACUGGUGUGUGUGUGUGUGUGCAUUGUGUUUAUUGUAUAGUGGUGGGAUUUCAGGUGAUUAAUAAUUUUUUCCCUUAUGUAUUUGAAUUUCUUAACCUCAGCAUUAAUCUUCUCAUUUGUUCUAUUGUAAAAUGUGCUAUAUCUACAGAAGACCGUAUCAGACAUUAAUGAACGAUGUAAAGAAGGAAAAGAAAGUGAACGACCACGUCCUUACCACCCAGCAAGUGUGAGAGAUCCAGCUGCCCCACAUCGUCACCAAGACUCGGCAUGGUCUGUCUUUUUAAUUUCAGCCGUUCUGGUUUACUGACAGUUUGGAAAUCCUCUUUUGUGAAGUAACCGAUUGUGGGUCUUCUAUAAAAGGAUAUAAGUCAAGAACAGCCAGAUGAAAGAGAUGCUCCAGGGCCAGGUGUGGGGAAAGGGUGCAGAGCUUCCGUGCCCUCUCCGGGCACGCCACUCUCCCAGCACCGCUACGUGUUCACCAACCUCGGAACUGGUGCGGGAUUUUCUGUUCUGGUUCUUUCAUAAUACUCUGAGCAUCUGCAUCUACACCAGGGUUGACGGUUGUGCUUAGCAGGAAGGAACAGGUCUAUGCUAUCUUGUCCGGACUGGAAACCUCUAUUUUUUAACCAUCAAUGCCUCUCAGGUCUGACCUCAGACCCAAGCCUCUGUGAACUCUUCCACCAUCAGUGCUACUCUAGUCUGUCCUCGAACGCGGGUUUCUGUCAGUUCACCGCCAGUGCCCGUCUUUUAUAUAUCUUCAACUCCGGCCUCUGCGAGCUCUGCUACCAUCCACGCCCUUCUGGUCUGUAACUCAGAACCACGCCUCUUUCACCUUGACCACCGUCAAUGGCAUAUUGUGUAGAAUCGUGCCACCAGAUAUGGCAGAUGCUAGCCACGUGUAGCUACUGAGCACUUGAAAUGAGGCUAAUGAGACUGAGAAUUGAAUUCUAAAUUUUAUUUAUUUUAAUUAAUUAAAAAUUUAAAAUAGGUGCUCAAUUCAGUUAUUGGAAACCUUUUAAACUAUUUUUGGAACAACUCGUGACUAUUAAUCUACAUUUUCAACUGUAAAUUUUAAGAAAUCUAAAUACAAAUCAAGUAUUUCCGAUGAAAAUUUAGCAUUCAAAUUGAGAUGUAUUGUGAGUGUAAAAUAGACGUCUGAUUUCAUAGACUAAUUACAAGAAAAAGAAUGCCAAAUCCCAUUAAUAAUUUAAAAAAUUGAUUACAUGUUGAAAUGAUAAUGUUUUGGAUAUGUGG